rnacentral:rRNA from 1 species
UACGUAGGGUGCGAGCGUUGUCCGGAAUUAUUGGGCGUAAAGGGUGCGUAGAUGGUUUAAUAAGUUAGCGGUGGUAAAUCGAGGCUCAACCUCGUGGAAGCUGGUAAUACUGUUAGGCUUGAGUGCAGAAGAGGUUAAUGGAACUCCAUGUGGAGCGGUAAAAUGCAUAGAUAUAUGGAAGAACAUCAAUAACGGCGAAGGCAAUUAACUAUUCUGCUACUGACAUUGAGGCACGAAAGCGUGGGGAGCAAAACGG